rnacentral:rRNA from 1 species
UGGGGAAUUUUGGACAAUGGGGGAAACCCUGAUCCAGCCAUCCCGCGUGUGCGAUGAAGGCCUUCGGGUUGUAAAGCACUUUUGGCAGGAAAGAAACGUCGCGGGUUAAUACCCCGCGAAACUGACGGUACCUGUAGAAUAAGCACCGGCUAACUACGUGCCAGCAGCCGCGGUAAUACGUAGGGUGCAAGCGUUAAUCGGAAUUACUGGGCGUAAAGCGUGCGCAGGCGGUUCGGAAAGAAAGAUGUGAAAUCCCAGAGCUUAACUUUGGAACUGCAUUUUUAACUACCGGGCUAGAGUGUGUCAGAGGGAGGUGGAAUUCCGCGUGUAGCAGUGAAAUGCGUAGAUAUGCGGAGGAACACCGAUGGCGAAGGCAGCCUCCUGGGAUAACACUGACGCUCAUGCACGAAAGCGUGGGGAGCAAACAGGAUUAGAUACCCUGGUAGUCCACGCCCUAAACGAUGUCAACUAGCUGUUGGGGGCCUUCGGGCCUUGGUAGCGCAGCUAACGCGUGAAGUUGACCGCCUGGGGAGUACGGUCGCAAGAUUAAAACUCAAAUGAAUUGACGGGGUC